rnacentral:rRNA from 1 species
AGUGAACGCUGGCGGUAGGCCUAACACAUGCAAGUCGAACGGCAGCACAGUAAGAGCUUGCUCUUACGGGUGGCGAGUGGCGGACGGGUGAGGAAUACAUCGGAAUCUACUUUUUCGUGGGGGAUAACGUAGGGGAACUUACGCUAAUACCGCAUACGACCUACGGGUGAAAGCAGGGGAUAUUCGGACCUUGCGCGAUUGAAUGAGCCGAUGUCGGAUUAGCUAGUUGGCGGGGUAAAGGCCAACCAAGGCGACGAUCCGUAGCUGGUCUGAGAGGAGGGUCAGCCACAUGGGAACUGAGACAGCGUCCAGACUCCUACGGGAGGCAGCAGUGGGGAAUAUUGGACAAUGGGCGCAAGCCUGAUCCAGCCAUACCGCGUGGGUGAAGAAGGCCUUCGGGUCGUAAAGCCCUUUUGUUGGGAAAGAAAAGCAGCAGGUUAAUACCCCGCUGUUCUGACGGUACCCAAAGAAUAAGCACCGGCUAACUUCGUG